AGAUCAAAUAGUUGGUCGUGCCUUGGUACGCACUGGCAUUAUUGGUUUCUCCCUUCUGACGAAUCAUGAUGUCAUUAAUUUGGUGUCUUGGGGAAUCAGGACUGUUACUUUGAAAAAAUUAGAGUGUUUAAAGCAGGCUCACGCUUGAAUACAUUAGCAUGGAAUAAUGAAAUAGGACGUUUAAUUCUAUUUUGUUGGUUUCUAGGAUUGACGUA
rnacentral:rRNA from 1 species